rnacentral:rRNA from 1 species
UACAGAGGGGGCAAGCGUUGUUCGGAAUUACUGGGCGUAAAGGGCUCGUAGGUGGCCAACUAAGUCAGACGUGAAAUCCCUCAGCUUAACUGGGGAACUGCGUCUGAUACUGGAUGGCUUGAGUUUGGGAGAGGGAUGCGGAAUUCCAGGUGUAGCGGUGAAAUGCGUAGAUAUCGUCAAGAACACCGAUAGUGUAGACAGCUAACUAAGCUUAACUGACGCUGAGGCACGAAAGUGUGGGGGAUCAAACAGG